UACGGGGGGAUGCAAGUGUUAUCCGGAAUAAUUGGGCGUAAAGCGUCUGUAGGUGGUUGACCAAGUCUGUUGUUAAAAAAUCAGGGCUCAACCCUGAUCCGGCAACAGAAACUAGUAAACUUGAGUACGGUAGGGGCAGAGGGAAUUCUCGGUGUAGUGGUGAAAUACGUAGAUAUCGAGAAGAACACCAAUAGCGAAAGCACUCUGCUGGGCCGAAACUGACAUUGAGAGACGAAAGCUAGGGGAGCAAACGGGAUUAAGAAACCCG
rnacentral:rRNA from 1 species